GCUCUUGGAGGAACGGAGGACAGGCAGA
rnacentral:piRNA from 1 species